ACAACAACAACAAGAAGU
rnacentral:sRNA from 1 species